GUUGUAAUUUGAAGAAGGUAUCUUUGGGCCCGGCUCUUGUCUAUGUUCCUUGGAACAGGACGUCACAGAGGGUGAGAAUCCCGUGCGAUGAGAUGACCCGGGUCUGUGUAAAGUUCCUUCGACGAGUCGAGUUGUUUGGGAAUGCAGCUCUAAGUGGGUGGUAAAUUCCAUCUAAAGCUAAAUAUUGGCGAGAGACCGAUAGCGAACAAGUACAGUGAUGGAAAGAUGAAAAGAACUUUAAAAAGAGAGUGAAAAAGUACGUGAAAUUGUUGAAAGGGAAGGGCUUGAGAUCAGACUUGGUAUUUUGCAUGCUGCUCUCUCGGGGGCGGCCGCUGCGGUUUACCGGGCCAGCAUCGGUUUGGAGCGGCAGGAUAAUGGCGGAGGAAUGUGGCACGGCUUCUGCUGUGUGUUAUAGCCUCUGACGA
rnacentral:rRNA from 1 species